rnacentral:rRNA from 1 species
GACGAACGUUGGCGGCGUGCUUAACACAUGCAAGUCGAACGGAAGGGCCCUGCUUUUGUGGGGUGCUCGAGUGGCGAACGGGUGAGUAACACGUGAGUAACCUGCCCUUGACUUUGGGAUAACUUCAGGAAACUGGGGCUAAUACCGGAUAGGAGCUCCUGCUGCAUGGUGGGGGUUGGAAAGUUUCGGCGGUUGGGGAUGGACUCGCGGCUUAUCAGCUUGUUGGUGGGGUAGUGGCUUACCAAGGCUUUGACGGGUAGCCGGCCUGAGAGGGUGACCGGCCACAUUGGGACUGAGAUACGGCCCAGACUCCUACGGGAGGCAGCAGUGGGGAAUAUUGCACAAUGGGCGGAAGCCUGAUGCACCAACGCCGCGUGCGGGAUGACGGCCUUCGGGUUGUAAACCGCUUUCGCCUGUGACGAAGCGUGAGUGACGGUAAUGGGUAAAGAAGCACCGGCUAACUACGUG